CUUAGGACAAUACUCAACAAGAAGAUACAUCCACAACGUUCAAAUUCCAUUGCAAAAAAGUACUUGGAGAAUAAUCAUAAGAUUAUAGAUGAAGCUCGUUCAAGUGUUGAGGCCAACAAAUGGGUCAAGACUGACUCUGAAUAUAUUGUCUUGGAGAUGUAGAUAUCAACCAAUAAGCUAAAUGGACCUGAUUGAUAGUCAUGGUAUCAGAUGAGUAAUGGUGGUGUGUAUGUUCAAAGUGUUCAAGAAUAUGAUGAAGAAUAACAUGGAGAUGGGUCAUGAAAAUAUCUCUCUGAUAAUCAUCGUUUACAGUUGUAUA